rnacentral:rRNA from 1 species
AUGCUCGUCACCGUCUCUGAUCUGAACCAAUCCGGAGCCAAAGCCACUAGAUCACCGGCGCAGAUCCGCCUUGGACAGGGACAGCACCAUGCCAUGCCGCCGCGGGAAGCCCUAGCUUCACCUGCUGCGACCUUUGAGGGCCGCCGCCCCGGGAUCCAGGCCGAACGUCGCCGCCGCCAUUGGUCACGUUCCGCCGCCGCCGGCGACCGCAGCCAUGGCCGUCGUGACCACGCGGACGCGCCGAGCAGCCAGCACCACCCGCUCUUCCACGUCGCCCUGCAGCUCUGCCGCCUCUGCCCACCACCACGCUGUCGUCGGAGGUGA